rnacentral:rRNA from 1 species
GACGAACGCUGGCGGCGUGCUUAACACAUGCAAGUCGAGCGGUAAGGCCUUUCGGGGUACACGAGCGGCGAACGGGUGAGUAACACGUGGGUGAUCUGCCCUGCACUUCGGGAUAAGCCUGGGAAACUGGGUCUAAUACCGGAUAUGACCUCCUAUCGCCUUGUGGGUGGGGGGAAGAUUUUUCGGUGCGGGAUGGGCCCGCGGCCUAUAAGCUUGUUGGUGGGGUAUUGGCCUCCCAAGGCGACGACGGGGAGCCGACCUGGGAGGGUGACCGGCCACACUGGGACUGAGACACGGCCCAGACUCCUCCGGGAGGCAGCAGUGGGGAAUAUUGCACAAUGGGCGAAAGCCUGAUGCAGCGACGCCGCGUGAGGGAUGACGGCCUUCGGGUUGUAAACCUCUUUCACCAGGGACGAAGCGCAAGUGACGGUACCUGCAGAAGAAGCACCGGCUAACUACGUG